rnacentral:rRNA from 1 species
GACGGGGGGGGCAAGUGUUCUUCGGAAUGACUGGGCGUAAAGGGCUCGUAGGCGGCCAACUAAGUCGGACGUGAAAUCCCCAGGCUCAACCUGGGAACUGCGUCCGAUACUGGAUGGCUUGAAUCCGGGAGAGGGAUGCAGAAUUCCAGGUGUAGCGGUGAAAUGCGUAGAUAUCUGGAGGAAUACCGGUGGCGAAGGCGGCAUCCUGGACCGGCAUUGACGCUGAGGAGCGAAAGCCAGGGGAGCAAACGGG